rnacentral:rRNA from 1 species
GAUGAACGCUGGCGGCGUGCCUAAUACAUGCAAGUCGAGCGAACGGACGAGAAGCUUGCUUCUCUGAUGUUAGCGGCGGACGGGUGAGUAACACGUGGAUAACCUACCUAUAAGACUGGGAUAACUUCGGGAAACCGUAGCUAAUACCGGAUAAUAUUUUGAACCGCAUGGUUCAAAAGUGAAAGACGGUCUUGCUGUCACUUAUAGAUGGAUCCGCGCUGCAUUAGCUAGUUGGUAAGGUAACGGCUUACCAAGGCAACGAUGCAUAGCCGACCUGAGAGGGUGAUCGGCCACACUGGAACUGAGACACGGUCCAGACUCCUACGGGAGGCAGCAGUAGGGAAUCUUCCGCAACGGGCGAAAGCCUGACGGAGCAACGCCGCGUGAGUGAUGAAGGUCUUCGGAUCGUAAAACUCUGUUAUUAGGGAAGAACAUAUGUGUAAGUAACUGUGCACAUCUUGACGGUACCUAAUCAGAAAGCCACGGCUAACUACGUG